rnacentral:rRNA from 1 species
GACGAACGCUGGCGGCGUGCUUAACACAUGCAAGUCGAACGGAAAGGCCCCUUUGGGGGUACUCGAGUGGCGAACGGGUGAGUAACACGUGCGUAACCUGCCCUUGACUUCGGGAUAACUUCAGGAAAAUGGGGCUAAUACCGGAUAGGAAUCCUUGCUCCAUGGUGGGGGUUGGAAAGCUUCAGCGGUUUUGGAUGGGCUUGGGGCUUUUCAGCUUGUAGGUGGGGUAGUGGCUUACAAAGGCUUUGACGGGUAGCCGGACUGGGAGGGCGACCGGCAACAUUGGGACUGAGAUACGGCCAAGACUCCUACGGGAGGCAGAGGUGGGGAAGAUUGAAAAAUGAGCGGGAGCCUGAUGCAGAAACGCCGCGUGCGGGAUGACGGUGUUCGGGUUGUGAUCCGAUUUCAGUAGGGGCGAAGAUUGUAGUGACGGUACCUGCAGAAGAAGCACCGGCUAACUACGUG